rnacentral:rRNA from 1 species
UGGGGAAUAUUGGACAAUGGGCGCAAGCCUGAUCCAGCAAUGCCGCGUGAGUGAUGAAGGCCUUAGGGUUGUAAAGCUCUUUCGCACGCGACGAUGAUGACGGUAGCGUGAGAAGAAGCCCCGGCUAACUUCGUGCCAGCAGCCGCGGUAAUACGAAGGGGGCUAGCGUUGUUCGGAAUUACUGGGCGUAAAGGGCGCGUAGGCGGCCUGUUUAGUCAGAAGUGAAAGCCCCGGGCUCAACCUGGGAAUAGCUUUUGAUACUGGCAGGCUUGAGUUCCGGAGAGGAUGGUGGAAUUCCCAGUGUAGAGGUGAAAUUCGUAGAUAUUGGGAAGAACACCGGUGGCGAAGGCGGCCAUCUGGACGGACACUGACGCUGAGGCGCGAAAGCGUGGGGAGCAAACAGGAUUAGAUACCCUGUAGUCCACGCCGUAAACGAUGAAUGCUAGACGUCGGGGUGCAUGCACUUCGGUGUCGCCGCUAACGCAUUAAGCAUUCCGCCUGGGGGAGUACGGCCGCAAGGUUAAAAC